AACGAACGCUAGCGGCAUGCCUAACACAUGCAAGUCGAACGAGACCUUCGGGUCUAGUGGCGCACGGGUGCGUAACGCGUGGGAACCUGCCCUUAGGUUCGGAAUAACUCCCCGAAAGGGGUGCUAAUACCGGAUAAUGUCUUCGGACCAAAGAUUUAUCGCCUUUGGAUGGGCCCGCGUUGGAUUAGCUAGUUGGUAGGGUAAAAGCCUACCAAGGCGACGAUCCAUAGCUGGUCUGAGAGGAUGAUCAGCCACACUGGGACUGAGACACGGCCCAGACUCCUACGGGAGGCAGCAGUGGGGAAUAUUGGACAAUGGGCGAAAGCCUGAUCCAGCAAUGCCGCGUGAGUCAUGAAGGCCUUAGGGUUGUAAAGCUCUUUUACCCGGGAUGAUAAUGACAGUACCGGGAGAAUAAGCUCCGGCUAACUCCGUG
rnacentral:rRNA from 1 species